UACACACCGCCCGUCACACCACGAAAGCUGUCUGAACCAGAAGUCAGUGACCCAACCUUCGGGACGGAGCUGCCCAAGGUUUUGGCAGUGAUUGGGGUG
rnacentral:rRNA from 1 species